rnacentral:rRNA from 1 species
CUCCUACGGGGCGCAGCAGUGAGGAAUAUUGGUCAAUGGUCGGGAGACUGAACCAGCAACGCCGCGUGAAGGAAGAAGGCUUUCGGGUUGUAAACUUCUUUUGUCAGGGACGAAGCAAGUGACGGUACCUGACGAAUAAGCCACGGCUAACUACGUGCCAGCAGCCGCGGUAAUACGUAGGUGGCAAGCGUUAUCCGGAUUUAUUGGGUGUAAAGGGCGUGUAGGCGGGAAUGCAAGUCAGAUGUGAAAACUAUGGGCUCAACCCAUAGCCUGCAUUUGAAACUGUAUUUCUUGAGUGCUGGAGG